GUAGAAGGAGUUACAGAAGGAAAAGGAGAAAAUAAGGUCUCAUAUCCUUGAAAUUUUCUCUGGGCCUUUGGAGCUGUCACUGCCAGGUUCAUCCAGCCCAUUGGCUACCUCCUUAUAAGCCCAUUCUAUACCUUGUUUCUUCAUUCCCCUCUUUCCUAAUUCUCUAGCUCCUCUCUUUCUUCAGUGUGUGCACUUUUUAUGGGUUUGAGAGAAAAUAUUGCAGUGCAGAAAGGAACACUGAAAUCUCCACAAGGUAGCAUGUAUGAGUGGAUUAAUCAGUCAACGAGCUUCAAGACAAAGGCUGCAAAAACUGCAAAGUGUAAGCCGAAUGUCAUGUUUAGUGGUCCUCCUUAGUCUGGGCUUUGUCUUCCUCAUUCUAACGAUGAGGGUGGCAUCCUCAUCUUAAUCUCGGUGCUAUCCUACCUGAGCUUUCUCACCGCCAUUUCUUGCUUUUUCUGUUUACUUUUCUCUCUUUUUUGACUUGUUGCCUUUCAUUCCUCCACCUACUCGAUUCUUCUUGACCUUGUAAGACCUUUUCUUGACCUUGUAAGACCCUUUGUUAUGUGUUAUAUUUUUAUGUUUUGUGUUGUCACAAAUCUUACGUUAUGACUUCUCCAUGUAAGGUUUGUUUAGUGUCCAUCUUCCUUCCUAUCCAACUCACGUUCUCCUUCCUUGUCUAUCCCUCCUGAGCUAUUAAUUAUUCCAUGUAGAAUUGUACACUGCAAAAAGAGAUUUGAAUUCAUGAUGUUUGAUCGGAAGAAAGUGAACUAUUUCCCAUCAAGAAUGGUAUAUUCAAGCAAAUUCAUGCUAUUAUUUAUAUACCCUUUUGUUCCUUUUUGUGGGGGGUUAUGAAUGUUAAUUUGGAAUAAACACUGUACUAAAUCCAUUUUUUUUUUUGUAUUAUGGCGGUUCAAGUUUUGAAGUUCCUUAGUAGUAAUAACUAUUUAUUUAUACAUAUCUUUUUGUUUUGUUUUGUUCGGGGAAUAUGUAAUAGAGAGACUACAAGUGUUCUACUAAUUUCCGAUUUUUUUCAAGGACUUGAGCAAUUUCUCA